UUACCAUCAUUCUCUUCUUGUAAAUCCAGCCGUACAUUGCAUUUGUACUUCCUCAGACAACUUUUAGUUUAAAUGGCCAAAAUUAGAACUUUAAUUUUAUAAGCUCUCAGUUGUUAAAUGCCAAUAGGAAAUCAUGUCUACAAGAAAAACAAUGACAAACACAAAAUAGGAACACUUUUUCCAGCCACAGUUGUACACUUAUGAGAAACAGGAAUACUGGAAAAUAGCAUUAAAUUCAAAGCUUAUGGGAAAUCUCUUAUUAAAGACUUAUUAUUCACCUCAGGAUAUUAAAGUUUACAAAUGAAAUUUUCAAAUUACUUUUAAAGUCAUCUUUUCCCUCCUACAGAAUUGACAUACAGGCUUGAAUCCAGAAAACAGUUAAAACUGAAGUUUAAAUAUUAGUAAUUUUAACAAAAUUCAGAAUGGAUUCAGAAAGAUACAAUACAGAAAUUUAGAGUAAAACAAAGCAGAAGAGCACUGUAUUUUGGGUUGUUUGAGAUAGGCACAGUAUCCUCUUCUUUCUCCUGAGGAAUAAGCUAAAAUUUAGUAUUUUGUUUAAAAGAGGUCUUUAAAUGAUAUAAACAAAAUUUAAGGAGCUCAGAACAUUCUUUCAUUUGGUCCUAAGAGGGACCUCCGGAAGCUCGGCCCUCACUUAGCCGUCGGAUGCCUGGAGCAAUUCCCCAGGCACAGGAGAAGGAGCCAUUGCUUCCCUGGGGUCCUCCGGGGAAGGGACCUGGCCCAGCCACUGCUGCCCUGACGACUAAAGCCUGCUCCAACUCUUCCCAGGAGCCAGGUUCUCAAAGGAGAGCCUGGGGGAGCAGGUGGGAGCGUUUGGACCGACUUGUCACAUUGCCCAGAGUCUGUCCUGUUUAUCACCAUCCAAAUAUGCGAGGUCCCUGGGAAAUAAAACCACCUGGUGUGGCGACAAGGUGCCGGGGAAGUCCAGUCUGUUAGCUCAGGGCCAAAGGACAGGGUGGCCAACAGUUCACAUUUUAGGAAUUUGAAAUGUCCAGAAAUAAAGUGGUAUCUCAAAAAAAAAAAAAAAUUAAAAUGGGGGAGGAGAGAGAAAAAGAAGUGAGAAGGAAGGAAGGAGACAAGGAAUUAUUUAGAGAAUGUGAGCUAGCCAGAAUACCUUACCUGGAAAGGAGUGACAAAUGCAUACAAAGCGCACAAACCGUGCAGUUAAUUCGGUAUUACACAGUGGGAUACAGUGUAAUGUAUCGGAAGCCUCGUGAUGCUUCCGCACAGCAUAUACCUACAUAUGUGCCAAGCACUUUUAAACAUAUGUGGGACUAAUUCAAGAUCACUCUAGCUUAAAAAUACAAAAUACAGAUCUCUUUAAAGGGACAGGGCAGGGGUGUGUGGAGGAAAGGCAGAUCCUGACAGACGAACACGGAGACAGGCGGGGUCUCUUUUGGUAAAGAGUUGAGAUGGCCCCAAAACUGUCAAAGGACGUUGACUGGUUCUUGAGAGGGUUAUUUUCAAAUAUAACCUUACAGCUACAUUUGUAAAAUAAAAUCUUUGCAGAAAGUUUCUUAACCUUGUGGUAAAUCCAUACUGACACUUCCUAAACUGAGCGAAAGGUGGCAGGGGUGAGAACAGGCCAGGGACACGGACUUUAACGUGAAAGGAACCCUCUCUGAGCGCCUCUCACACAAAAGGAUAGACUCUUAAAUAAAAUGACACUUCCUUUAAAAUCUGCCACCUAACUACUGUUUACAUCAUAGAAAAAUAGCAAUUUUGUAAAAAGAAAUAUAGUCACUUUGUUAAAAUGGUCUCUUUUAAACCAGCAAUU
rnacentral:lncRNA from 1 species